GGCGCAGCUACACAUGCAGUCGAGCGGAUGACGGGAGCUUGCUCCUUGAUUCAGCGGCGGACGGGUGAGUAAUGCCUAAGAGUCUGCCUGGUAGUGGGGGACAACGUUUCGAAAGGAACGCUAAUACCGCAUACGUCCUACGGGAGAAAGCAGGGGACCUUCGGGCCUUGCGCUAUCAGAUGAGCCUAGGUCGGAUUAUCUAGGUGGUGGGGUAAUGGCUCACCAAGGCGACGAUCCGUAUCUGGUCUGAGAGGAUGAUCAGUCACACUGGAACUGAGACACGGUCCAGACUCCUACGGGAGGCAGCAGUGGGGAAUAUUGGACAGUGGGCGAAAGCCUGAUCCAGCCGUGCCGCGUGUGUGAAGAAGGUCUUCGGAUUGUAAAGCACUUUAAGUUGGGAGGAAGGGCAGUAAGCUAAUACCUUGCUGUUUUGACGUUACCGACAGAAUAAGCACCGGCUAACUCUGUGCCAGCAGCCGCGGUAAUACAGAGGGUGCAAGCGUUAAUCGGAAUUACUGGGCGUAAAGCGCGCGUAGGUGGUUUGUUAAGUUGGAUGUGAAAGCCCCGGGCUCAACCUGGGAACUGCAUCCGAAACUGGCAAGCUAGAGUACGGUAGAGGGAGGGUGGAAUUUCCUGUGUAGCGGUGAAAUGCGUAUAUAUAGAGGAGGAACACCUGUGGAAGAAGGCGACCCUCCUGCGACUGAUACUGACUCCUGAG
rnacentral:rRNA from 1 species